rnacentral:rRNA from 1 species
AGAGUUUGAUCCUGGCUCAGAAUGAACGCUGGCGGCGUGCUUAACACAUGCAAGUCGAACGAGGCUGGGGGGGCAACUCUCCAGUUGAGUGGCGGACGGGUGAGUAACACGUGGGUAACCUGCCCGGAAGUGGGGAAUACCUCGGGGAAACUCGAGCUAAUACCGCAUGACAUCUUUGGGACGAGAGUCCUGACGAUCAAAGCGGGGUCGCAAGAUCUCGCGCUACCGGAUGGGCCCGCGCCCGAUUAGCUAGUUGGCGAGGUAACGGCUCACCAAGGCUUCGAUCGGUAGCCGGCCUGAGAGGGCGAUCGGUCACACCGGAACUGAGACACGGUCCGGACUCCUACGGGAGGCAGCAGUGGGGAAUCUUGCGCAAUGGGCGAAAGCCUGACGCAGCAACGCCGCGUGGAGGAUGAAGGCCCUUGGGUUGUAAACUCCUGUCGGCUGGGAAGAAAUCGCGCGGUGCUCAUACCAUCGCGCGUUGACUGUACCAGCAAAGGAAGCCCCGGCUAACUCUGUGCCAGCAGCCGCGGUAAUACAGAGGGGGCUAGCGUUAUUCGGAAUUAUUGGGCGUAAAGGGCGCGUAGGCGGCCCAGCGUGUCUUCCGUGAAAUCCCUCGGCUUAACUGAGGACGUGCGGAAGAAACUGCGGGGCUCGAGUCCGGGAGAGGGGGGUGGAAUUCCCAGUGUAGCGGUGAAAUGCGUAGAUAUUGGGAGGAACACCGGUGGCGAAAGCGGCCCCCUGGACCGGUUCUGACGCUGAGCGCGAAAGCGUGGGUAGCAAACGGGAUUAGAUACCCCGGUAGUCC